GACGAACGCUGGCGGCGUGCUUAACACAUGCAAGUCGAACGGAAAGGCCUGCUUUCCCUUGUGGAUUGCGGGUGCUCGAGUGGCGAACGGGUGAGUAACACGUGAGUGAUCUGCCCCCAACUUGGGUAUAAGCCUGGGAAACUGGGUCUAAUUCCCGAUAGGACUGCAGGGUGGUGCCUGUGGUGGAAAACGAUUUUCUAGUGGUUGGGGAUGAGCUCGCGGCCUAUCAGCUUGUUGGUGGGGUAAUGGCCUACCAAGGCGGCGACGGGUAGCCGGCCUGAGAGGGUGGACGGCCACAUUGGGACUGAGAUACGGCCCAGACUCCUACGGGAGGCAGCAGUGGGGAAUAUUGCACAAUGGGCGGAAGCCUGAUGCAGCGACGCCGCGUGGGGGAUGACGGCCUUCGGGUUGUAAACUCCUUUCGACCGCGAGGAAGCCACCUGGUGGGAAGGGUGGUGACGGUAGUGGUAGAAGAAGCACCGGCUAACUACGU
rnacentral:rRNA from 1 species